rnacentral:rRNA from 1 species
GUGUCAGCAGCCGCGGUAAAACGUAGGAGGCGAGCGUUAUCCGGAUUUACUGGGUGUAAAGCGCGUGCAGGCGGCUUGGUAAGUGGUGUGUGAAAGCGCCCGGCUUAACCGGGCGAGGCCGCACCAGACUGCGAAGCUGGAGGGAGGUAGAGGCGUGUGGAAUUCCGGGUGUAGUGGUGAAAUGCGUAGAGAUCCGGAGGAACACCAGAGGCGAAGGCGACACGCUGGGCCAACCCUGACGCUAAGACGCGAAAGCAUGGGGAGCGAACGGGAUUAGAAACCCUGGUAGUCC